AUUGAACGCUGGCGGCAUGCUUUACACAUGCAAGUCGAACGGCAGCGCGGGCUUCGGCCUGGCGGCGAGUGGCGAACGGGUGAGUAAUGCAUCGGAACGUGCCCAGUAGUGGGGGAUAGCCCGGCGAAAGCCGGAUUAAUACCGCAUACGACCUGAGGGUGAAAGCGGGGGACCGAAAGGCCUCGCGCUCUUGGGGCGGCCGAUGUCGGGUUUGCCAGUUGGUGGGGUAAAGGCUUCCAAGGCGACGAUCCGUAGCGGGUCUGAGCGGACGACCAGCCACACGGGGACUGAGACACGGCCAAGACUCCUACGGGAGGCAGCAGUGGGGAAUUUUGGACAAUGGGGGCAAACCUGAUACAGCCAGGCCGCGUGCGGGAAGAAGGCCUUCGGGGUGUAAACCGCUUUUGUUCGGGAAGAAAUCCUUUGGGCUAAGACCCCGGGGGGAUGACGGUACCGGAAGAAUAAGCACCGGCUAACUACGUG
rnacentral:rRNA from 1 species